rnacentral:pre_miRNA from 1 species
AAACAUAAUCUGUAAAUUGUUUUGUCCUCGUUUUCUUUUUUGCCUAUUGGUUUUAAUAGGUGGAGAAGAAAACAAGGACAAAACAAUUAGCAGAUUCUGUUUU